UUAACCCCCUAAGCAGUAGGGAAAUAGAUCAAAGGUGAUGGGCCUUAAACCCCUAAGUAGUAGGGUAACAGGCUGAAUUUACAGAUCUUAUCACCCUAAGCAGUAGGGGAACAGAUCAAAGGCAAUGGGCCUUAAACCCCUAAGCAAUAGGGUUACAGACUGAAUUUAUAGAUCUUAUCACCCUAAGCAGUAGGGAAAUAGAUCAAAGGCGAUGCGCCUUAAAC
rnacentral:lncRNA from 1 species